CGAGGCCCACGGGGGCAGGGCUGGGUGAUCUGUUCGAGGCUGCCCCACCCAUAGGGCCCGAGCUGCAGGCUGACUUGGGUCUCGCUGAACGUUGUUGAAGGACUGUCCUACAGGCCCAGGGAGCCAAGCCUGGGCUGGGGAAUCAGAGCUACGGUCUUCCAGGGGACUAGCUUCCCAGAAUCCUGCCCCACCUUCAAGGCUCUACCUACCCUGGGCCCUCCUCCUCCAGGAAGACCCUCUGGACCGCCCCGCGCCCAGCCAUCGAUCACUCCUUCUCAGGUUCCACACCCAGCACGGAGCCCAACUGUGGGGCCUGAACUC